rnacentral:misc_RNA from 1 species
AACCUUAUGGACCUGCGGGCGUAUACCUGCGGAGGGAUCAUUACCGAGUUUACAAACUCCCAACCCUUUGUGAACCUUACCAUAUUGUUGCUUCGGCGGGACCGCCCCGGCGCCUUCGGGCCCGGAACCAGGCGCCCGCCGGAGGCCCCAAACUCUUAUGUCUUUAGUGGUUUUCUCCUCUGAGUGACACAUAAACAAAUAAAUAAAAACUUUCAACAAUGGAUCUCAGAUCGGAAGAGC